AGUGGGAUAGCUGGGUCAAAUGAUGGUUCAAUUCCAAGUUUUCUAAGGAAUCUCCAUUCUGCUUUCCAGAGUAGUUGCACUAAUUUGCAGUCCCACCAGCAAU
rnacentral:pre_miRNA from 1 species